rnacentral:tRNA from 1 species
GCCUGAUUAGCUCAACUGGUAGAGCAUUCGCCUUGUAAGCGAAAGGUUGAGAGUUCGAGUCUCUCAUUAGGCU